rnacentral:rRNA from 2 species
ACGCUGGCGGCGUGCUAAUACAUGCAAGUCGAGCGGACAGAAGGGAGCUUGCUCCCGGAUGUUAGCGGCGGACGGGUGAGUAACACGUGGGUAACCUGCCUGUAAGACUGGGAUAACUCCGGGAAACCGGAGCUAAUACCGGAUAGUUCCUUGAACCGCAUGGUUCAAGGAUGAAAGACGGUUUCGGCUGUCACUUACAGAUGGACCCGCGGCGCAUUAGCUAGUUGGUGAGGUAACGGCUCACCAAGGCGACGAUGCGUAGCCGACCUGAGAGGGUGAUCGGCCACACUGGGACUGAGACACGGCCCAGACUCCUACGGGAGGCAGCAGUAGGGAAUCUUCCGCAAUGGACGAAAGUCUGACGGAGCAACGCCGCGUGAGUGAUGAAGGUUUUCGGAUCGUAAAGCUCUGUUGUUAGGGAAGAACAAGUGCAAGAGUAACUGCUUGCACCUUGACGGUACCUAACCAGAAAGCCACGGCUAACUACGUGCCAGCAGCCGCGGUAAUACGUAGGUGGCAAGCGUUGUCCGGAAUUAUUGGGCGUAAAGGGCUCGCAGGCGGUUUCUUAAGUCUGAUGUGAAAGCCCCCGGCUCAACCGGGGAGGGUCAUUGGAAACUGGGAAACUUGAGUGCAGAAGAGGAGAGUGGAAUUCCACGUGUAGCGGUGAAAUGCGUAGAGAUGUGGAGGAACACCAGUGGCGAAGGCGACUCUCUGGUCUGUAACUGACGCUGAGGAGCGAAAGCGUGGGGAGCGAACAGGAUUAGAUACCCUGGUAGUCCACGCCGUAAACGAUGAGUGCUAAGUGUUAGGGGGUUUCCGCCCCUUAGUGCUGCAGCUAACGCAUUAAGCACUCCGCCNGGGGAGUACGGUCGCAAGACUGAAACUCAAAGGAAUUGACGGGGGCCCGCACAAGCGGUGGAGCANGUGGUUNAAUUCGAAGCAACGCGAAGAACCUUACCAGGUCUUGACNUCCUCUGACAACCCUAGAGAUAGGGCUUUCCCUUCGGGGACAGAGUGACAGGUGGUGCANGGUNGUCGUCAGCUCGUGUCGUGAGAUGUUGGGUUAAGUCCCGCAACGAGCGCAACCCUUGAUNUUAGUUGCCAGCAUUNAGUUGGGCACUCUAAGGUGNCUGCCGGUGACNAACCGGAGGAAGGUGGGGAUGACGUCAAAUCAUCAUGCCCCUUAUGACCUGGGNUACACACGUGCUACAAUGGACAGAACAAAGGGCUGCGAGACCGCAAGGUUUAGCCAAUCCCACAAAUCUGUUCUCAGUUCGGAUCGCAGUCUGCAACUCGACUGCGUGAAGCUGGAAUCGCUAGUAAUCGCGGAUCACAUGCCGCGGUGAAUACGUUCCCGGGCCUUGUACACACCGCCCGUCACACCACGAGAGUUUGCAACACCCGAAGUCGGUGAGGGUA